rnacentral:rRNA from 1 species
AUAAACGCUGGCGGCGUGCAUGAGACAUGCAAGUCGAACGAACGAGCUUGCUCGUUAGUGGCGGACGGCUGAGUAACGCGUAGGUGACCUGCCCCGAAGUGGGGGAUAACUGCCCGAAAGGGUGGCUAAUACCGCAUGUGGCGACGCUUUCAUUGGUGUCAUCAAAGCCGCGAGGCGCUUCGGGAGGGGCCUGCGUCCGAUUAGCUCGUUGGUGGGGUAAUGGCUCACCAAGGCGACGAUCGGUAGGUGGUCUGAGAGGACGAUCACCCAGACUGGGACUGAGACACGGCCCAGACUCCUACGGGAGGCAGCAGUCGGGAAUUUUGCUCAAUGGGCGAAAGCCUGAAGCAGCAACGCCGCGUGAGGGAUGACGGCCUUCGGGUUGUAAACCUCUUUUGUCAGGGACGAUAAUGACGGUACCUGAGGAAUAAGUCACGGCUAACUACGU